GGGAUGGUGACACAUAUACCAGUCUGCAGCUUUCCAACAUCAGCCCUGAAUAUGACGUGCUGCAGGUAAAAAACAAGCAUCAGAAACACACAGGGACUACACAAGAAGAGAACGAUGAUUACCAGAACCCUGAAGAUGGAAACAGACCUGAUUCAGGGGCUAAUUAAAAAUAGCAAGGCUGAAGAUCAGAGAGGGCUCCCGUUCAACGGCGUGAACUUCGGUCUAAACCCACAUGAGAAUCAUAUUCAGUUUUAAAGGGGCAGUUCACCCGAAAAUGAAAGAAAGCUGCGUUUCAUCUUACCAGGAGUGCUAUCUUUCCAUCCAGGUAGUUUUUCUGAGAUUUGAUGUGAUGUUAAACUUUCUGUUUUCCUCUAUCUUUCUCUCACUCUCUCAUCUCUCUCUCUUUUUCUCUCUCUCUCUUCCCCACUUAUUUAAAGCACUGUGCUUAUGUAUUUAUGAUGAAAAAAGGUUAUUUUUCAAGGUUUUUCUGACCCAAGUUAAUUGUACUGUUUUUACUGGCACAAUUUAAAAAGGGUCUCUUGAGUGAGAUGGACUAAAAGGAACUUUUACUGUCUUGCAAAGAAAGCUGGGGGAGAACAGGUCUUAAACAUAAGUGCAUUCCUUUUGCAGUCUUUUUGAAGUUGUAUAUAAAAUAAGGGCAGGACUAAUUGAGGUAUGUACUGUUGUUUUUUUUGCUGUAAAAUUAAGGAAAAAACAAACAAAAAUAAACUUCUGUUCCAUAGCAAUUUGAAUUAUGUACAGUAAAAAGUGUUACUCUAACAGGAUUUAUGUUGUCAAAAAGGGAUAAAAUGUAUUUGCUGGUUUGACAUUGAACGUUUAAGUGUACAGGUGUGGAUUUACUGUUAAAAAAAAUCAAAUUCUGAUUUGAUUAUGAACUGUCCACUAAAACUGUCUAGGUUCAUAUUAGAAGCUUUCUUUAAAGUAAAAAAAAAUGUUUUUAGUUUACUUUAU